UGCAAGUCGAGGGGAAACGACAUCGAAAGCUUGCUUUUGAUGGGCGUCGACCGGCGCACGGGUGAGUAACGCGUAUGCAACCUGCCCUUCACAGGGGGAUAACCGGGAGAAAUUCCGACUAAUACCGCAUACGUCCUUUGGGGGCAUCCCCGGGGGAUGAAAGAGUUAUCGGUGAAGGAUGGGCAUGCGUGAUAUUAGGUAGUUGGCGGGGCAACGGCCCACCAAGCCUACGAUAUCUAGGGGUUCUGAGAGGAAGGUCCCCACAUUGGUACUGAGACACGGACCAAACUCC
rnacentral:rRNA from 1 species